rnacentral:rRNA from 1 species
ACGUACACUCCUGCGGGAGGCAGCAGUGGGGAAUAUUGCACAAUGGGCGCAAGCCUGAUGCAGCCAUGCCGCGUGUAUGAAGAAGGCCUUCGGGUUGUAAAGUACUUUCAGCGGGGAGGAAGGCGAUAAGGUUAAUAACCUUGUCGAUUGACGUUACCCGCAGAAGAAGCACCGGCUAACUCCGUGCCAGCAGCCGCGGUAAUACGGAGGGUGCAAGCGUUAAUCGGAAUUACUGGGCGUAAAGCGCACGCAGGCGGUCUGUCAAGUCGGAUGUGAAAUCCCCGGGCUCAACCUGGGAACUGCAUUCGAAACUGGCAGGCUAGAGUCUUGUAGAGGGGGGUAGAAUUCCAGGUGUAGCGGUGAAAUGCGUAGAGAUCUGGAGGAAUACCGGUGGCGAAGGCGGCCCCCUGGACAAAGACUGACGCUCAGGUGCGAAAGCGUGGGGAGCAAACAGGAUUAGAUACCCGUGUAGUCC